rnacentral:rRNA from 1 species
AGAUUGAACGCUGGCGGCAUGCCUUACACAUGCAAGUCGAACGGCAGCACGGACUUCGGUCUGGUGGCGAGUGGCGAACGGGUGAGUAAUAUAUCGGAACGUACCCUGGAGUGGGGGAUAACGCAGCGAAAGUUGCGCUAAUACCGCAUACGAUCUACGGAUGAAAGUGGGGGCUCGCAAGACCUCAUGCUCGUGGAGCGGCCGAUAUCUGAUUAGCUAGUUGGUAGGGUAAAAGCCUACCAAGGCCUCGAUCAGUAGCUGGUCUGAGAGGACGACCAGCCACACUGGGACUGAGACACGGCCCAGACUCCUACGGGAGGCAGCAGUGGGAAUUUUGGACAAUGGGGGCAACCCUGAUCCAGCAAUGCCGCGUGAGUGAGAAGGCCUCGGUGUAAG